CACGUAGGGGGCAAGCGUUGUCCGGAUUUAUUGGGCGUAAAGAGCUCGUAGGUGGUUCGGUAAGUCGGGUGUGAAACCUCCAGGCUCAACCUGGAGACGCCACCCGAUACUGCUGUGACUGGAGUCCGGUGAGGGGAGCGUGGAAUUCCUGGUGUAGCGGUGAAAUGCGCAGAUAUGCGGAGGAACACCGAUGGCGAAGGCAAUCCCCGUGGACCUGUACUGACGCUCAU
rnacentral:rRNA from 1 species